AAGGACGACAUCGUCACCAAACUGGGCAGAGCAGUUAUCAGGACCAACAGAGAGAAGGCUUCUGACAUGACCAUUCCCAUCACUGCUGCAGUGACUGUUCUUGCUGUCAUCCUCAUGGCUGCCACUGGAGUCAUUGUUUACAGAAAGAGGAGAGCUGAAUGUCCCCCAUGUCCUCCUGAUGAGAGCUCUGAGCUCUCUGAGAAACUCAAUCCAGAAACAUGAUUUGCAGACACAUCAGGGACACAGUGCAUUAUUUCAAAUGGGAUGCAGAGCAGCUGUGACUCCAGUGAAGCAACACCUGAAAUUAUAAGAUUCCGACAACAAACCUUUAUAUUAAAAUCCCUGAAAACUUGCUUUUAAAUCUUGAGUAUCAUAUUGUCUUAAUAUCAGUUUUUCCCCGAGAAAUACACCAGAAAAAGUGGGGUUGUUAUUAUUCAGGGUCUAGACUUGUAAAUGUCAGUAUACAUUCACAACAAUAGGUGGCGCCAAAUAUCCGUAAAACAAGUGUUUCCUUUCUGACUAAAGCCAGCAACUAACCCUCACAGUCAGCUCACAGUGUCAGGUGCCUGAAAGAUGAAGAGACUCAUCUCACACAAAGUGGCUCAAAAGUUGCCAAGUUGACACCUGGGUAGGAGUCAUGAUGCCAAAAAUAAAAUCAUGUGAGUCAUCAAACAACUCUCAAGCUGCAAAGAAAUACAGUGUCACAGAAUGAAAUGUUCAUAUGGUCAGGCCAAAAAGACAAACAGUUUAUCUACAGGUUGACGGACUACCUUGUGUUAUGAAGUGUGUUUUUAUUAGUAUUGGUCUUCAGAAAACCUUUUCUAAAACUGAGUCUUGAAAAAGUGGGGGUCAUCUUACAAUCAGGAUUGUCUUAUAUUCAGGUAAGUAUGGUACUGCUUAUUACGCCAGGAUGGCUAAAAAUAACAUUAACAUCUCUGAUAUUAUUUAUUAGGAGUUGAUGACUUUAAAAGUAGUUCAUCUGUUUUGUCAGGAUUUUGUUGGUGUGGUGUCAUCAGAUUGGACAGAUGUUGCUGAAUCCUGAUUGAUGUAAGGAAACAUGUAACACCACCUUUUACCCUUUGAGCUCUGCCUACUUACUUACAGGGACAAGAUGAGUGAGGAAAUAAGUUUUCAGGGCCUUUAAGUUUGAUGAGGUGAAAAGAGAAACAAGCCUAUGAGGUACAGAUACUCAAAACUCUUUUACAUCAAAGGCUGAUAAAGUGUUUACUUUUUAUUAUAUUGUAGACAUAUAAUUCAAACAAAGGGUGAUACUUUCAAAGCACAGAGGGUAACUGAAGACCUCAGCUUACAAAAUCUUGAGUAUGUGGUUAUGUGGAAUUGGAAUAUUUAUAGUGAUAGGUUUGUACUCUAACAGCCUGUUUGUUGUACUCAUUCACUUCCCUGUAUCUAUACAUGCCUUGUACUGUACAUGCUUUUUCCUGAAACAAAAAAUCUACUACCACCCAAAUGGAGUAGAGGUAAAAACAAUGUCUCUGUAUAUUUCUUUCAAAUUGUGCUAAUGGUUUUGCUAGAUUCUCAACCAACACUCAGCAUGUUAGAAUGUCUGUGUUUGACAGCCAAUGUUCUGUUUUUAAUUUAGAAUCAUUAUUGUCAAAUAAAAUUACU